UGGCAGCUAGUCUAACUAAGACAACUAGUUUCGACCUAGUAAAUCCCACAAACGCGGGGCCGCCUA
rnacentral:tRNA from 1 species